rnacentral:rRNA from 1 species
UACAGAGGGUGCAAGCGUUAAUCGGAAUUACUGGGCGUAAAGCGUGCGCAGGCGGUUCGUUGUGUCGGCGGUGAAAGCCCCGGGCUUAACCUGGGAAUGGCCGUCGAAACUGGCGAACUGGAGUGUGGCAGAGGGGGGUGGAAUUCCGCGUGUAGCAGUGAAAUGCGUAGAGAUGCGGAGGAACACCGAUGGCGAAGGCAGCCCCCUGGGCUGACACUGACGCUCAGGCACGAAAGCGUGGGGAGCAAACAGG